ensembl:lncRNA
GGGGGGUCUAUGGGGUCUAUGGGGUAUAGGGUCGGAUAUGGGGUGCGGGGUGUAUGGGGUAUAGGGUCGGGUAUGGGGUGUGGGUGGAUGGGGUGGAUGGGGUGUAGCUCACUGUGCCCCAUAGAAACCCCAUAGAGCCCCACUGUGCCCCAUAGAGCCCCACUAAACCCCAUAGAAACCCCAAAGCGCCCCAUAGAGCCCCACUGUGCCCCAUAGAAACCCCAUAGAGUUCCACUGGACCCCAUGGAAACCCCAUAGCGCCCCAUAGAGCCCCACAGCGCCCCAUAGAAACCCCACAGAGCCCCAAAGAAACCCCAUAGAGCCCAACCGUGCUCCAUACAAACCCCAUAGAGCCCCUUAGCGCCCCAUAGAAACCCCAUAGUGCCCUAUAGAAACACCAGAGAGCUCCACUGUGCCCCAUAGAAACCCCACAGCGCCCCAUAGCGCCCCACUGUGCCCCAUAAAAACCCCAUAUAGCCCCAUAGAUCCCCAUAGAAACCCCAUAGAGCCACAUAGAAACCCCACAGUGCCCCAUAAUGCCCCUUAGAAACCCCACAGUGGCCCAUAGAGCCCCACUGUGCCCCAGAGAAACCCCACAGCGCCCCACAGAACCCCACAGCGCCCCAUAAUGCCCCACUGUGCCCCAUAGAAACCCCAUAGCGCCCCAUAGAGCCCCAUAGAAACCCCAAGCGCCCCAUAGAGCCCCACUGUGCCCCAGAGGGCCCCAUAGAAACCCCAUAGAGCCCCAUAGAAACCCCACAGAGCCCCACUGUGCCCCACAGAAGCCCCAUAGAGCCCCAUAGCGCCCCAUAAUGCCACAUAGAAAACCCACAGCGCCCCAUAGAGCCCCACUGUGCCCCACAGGGCCUCACAGAAACCCCAUAGAGCCCCACUGUGCCCCAUAGAAAUCCCCAUAGAGCCCCAUAGAAACCCCAUAGAGCCCCACUUUGCCCCAUUGAAACCCCAUAGAGCUCCACUGGACCCCAUGGAAACCCCAUAGCGACCCAUAGAGCCCCACAGCGCCACAUAGAGCCAUAUAGAAACCCCAUAGAGUUCCACUGGACCCCAUAGAAACCCCACAGUCCCCCUUAGAGCCCCACUGUGCCCCAUAGCGACCCCACAGCACCCCACUCUGCCCCAUAGAAAUCCCAUAGAGUUCCACUGGACCCCAUAGAAACCCC